rnacentral:rRNA from 1 species
UGAUGAAGGCCGUAAGGUUGUAAAAUCCUUUUGAAGGUGAAGAAUAACUGGGGGAGUGGAAAGCCCCUGGAAUGACGUUAGCCUGCGAAUAAGCCCCGGCUAAUUACGUGCCAGCAGCCG